UGGGGAAUAUUGGGCAAUGGGCGAAAGCCUGACCCAGCAACGCCGCGUGAGUGAUGAAGGCCUUCGGGUUGUAAAACUCUUUGGACAGGGACGAAGAAAGUGACGGUACCAUAAGAAAAAGCCCCGGCUAACUACGUGCCAGCAGCCGCGGUAAUACGUAGGGGGCUAGCGUUGUCCGGAAUCACUGGGCGUAAAGGGUUCGCAGGCGGAAAUGCAAGUCAGGUGUAAAAGGCAGUAGCUUAACUACUGUAAGCAUUUGAAACUGCAUAUCUUGAGAAGAGUAGAGGUAAGUGGAAUUUUUAGUGUAGCGGUGAAAUGCGUAGAUAUUAAAAAGAAUACCGGUGGCGAAGGCGACUUACUGGGCUCAUUCUGACGCUGAGGAACGAAAGCGUGGGUAGCAAACAGG
rnacentral:rRNA from 1 species